AAAUUCCUGAAACGUAGCUCGACCCUGCUCCCAACCUCCGUUAUCAAAACGCAGCCAAGUCUCUGUUCUGUAUUCUAGGGUUUGGAUUCUGAGUUUCGUUUCAGUUUUUGAUCACCAUGAGAGCUAAGUGGAAGAAGAAGCGUAUGAGGAGGUUGAAGAGGAAGCGCCGAAAGAUGAGGCAGAGAUCGAAGUAGUGUGCUUGUUUCCCCAGCAACUAUUGCUACUAGUUUUGUUUUAUUUCAGCUAUGUUUUUGUUUCCAAAUGUUACGAUACAUUUUUAUUGGUUUCUCUUGCUUUUGUCUUACCUCAAAAAAGAUGCUCUUACCGCAAAUUAAUUAGAUUUAAUAUUUGAAUCUAUUGUUCUCUCGUGCUUGUUUUGGUUUAA